rnacentral:rRNA from 1 species
UACGUAGGGCGCAAGCGUUGUCCGGAAUUAUUGGGCGUAAAGAGCUCGUAGGCGGCUUGUCACGUCGGGUGUGAAAGCCCGGGGCUUAACCCCGGGUCUGCAUUCGAUACGGGCUGGCUAGAGUGUGGUAGGGGAGAUCGGAAUUCCUGGUGUAGCGGUGAAAUGCGCAGAUAUCAGGAGGAACACCGGUGGCGAAGGCGGAUCUCUGGGCCAUUACUGACGCUGAGGAGCGAAAGCGUGGGGAGCAAACAGG